rnacentral:rRNA from 1 species
UACGAAGGGGGCUAGCGUUGCUCGGAAUCACUGGGCGUAAAGGGUGCGUAGGCGGGUUUUAAGUCAGGGGUGAAAUCCUGGAGCUCAACUCCAGAACUGCCUUUGAUACUGAAGAUCUUGAGUCCGGGAGAGGUGAGUGGAACUGCGAGUGUAGAGGUGAAAUCGUAGAUAUUCGGAAGAACACCAGUGGCGAAGGCGACUUACUGGACACAUAUUGACGCUGAGGUGCGAAAGCGUGGGGAGCAAACAGG